UGGGGAAUAUUGGGCAAUGGGCGAAAGCCUGACCCAGCAACGCCGCGUGAAGGAAGAAGGCUUUCGGGUUGUAAACUUCUUUUGACAGGGAAGAGCAGAAGACGGUACCUGUCGAAUAAGCCACGGCUAACUAACGUCGCC
rnacentral:rRNA from 1 species